AAAUGCGGGGCCGCCUUGGGCCGCUGAGGAGAAACGUCUAGAUGGUUUCUGGGAAAGCACACGAGAAUGCGUUGCGGGCUCCACAGAAGUGGCAGUUGAAACUGAAGGAUAAACGCAUCUGACUCUUACACUGUGAGAGAACAAGAGAGCAGAGACUGAGCCAGUGAAAACGACAUGGGGAGAAAGAUGAAUCAGAGAGGCGGGAACAAAGCCAAGCGGGAAUUCGAGAAUUCAACUUCUGCCAGAGCAGCACUGAAAAGAGGAAGCAGUAAAGAGAAAAUGAAAAAGCAGAGUAUCACAUUCAAUUCACAAAUUUCACCUGAAAGCAUAGAUAGGUAACUCACCACUUCAAGAUAUUAACAGUUCCCUCUGUGUCAGUUAUCACUUUGAUUUGUACAGUUUGUGUGUAUAAAUUAUAAAAAAUUGGAA